AUUGGCGGGAAGAUUGUUUGCCUUCCUAAAUAUCUCGUAUAAAAGCACCGGUUCAUCUCAGACCGCCACUUUCAUUUCUUCUCUUUCCUUUCCCAUCAGUUUCUAAGGUUUUCAAAGAUGUUCUCAGGCUCCCAAUUCGACGCGACCAACGCCUUCUCCGGCGACGGUUUCUUGGCUUCUCAGUCCACUCAAUUCGGCGAUUCCACUCCCUCUCCGGCCAAGCCCGGCGAAACUCACGGAUUGGUUCCGGUGACGGUGAAGUAGAUCAGCGAAGCUCAUCAGUCCGGUGAUGAAAAAUCGAACUUUGUGAUCAAUGGUGCAGAUGUUGCCAAUGUAUCGGUGGUUGGGAUGGUUUUCGAUAAAGCCGAAAGGAACACUGAUGUUGGUUUCACUGUGGAUGACGGGACAGGGCGAAUCAAGUGCUGAAGAUGGGUGAAUGAGAAUUUUGACUCAAGAAAUGCAGGAAAUAGAAGAUGGAAUGUAUGUUCGUGUUAACGGAUACUUGAAUGUCCUUCAAGGUGUUCGACAGAUUAUUGCCUUUCUGUGAGGCCUGUGAAAAACUUUGACGAAGUUACCUUCCACUUCAUUGAAUGCAUACAUACCCACUUGCAGAUGUCCAAGUUACAGCUACAAGGGAAUGCUGCCACUCAAACCCGGCCUAUGAACUCAUCUUUGAACACUCCUGUGGGGAGCAGGUCAACUGGAUAUCAGACAGCCCCGUCAAACCAAUUCUCCGGGCAAUUUAGCGUUCAUGGACUAAAGAGCUGUGAUCAGUUGGUCCUUGACUAUCUGCAGCAGCCUUCAAGCAUCUUCGCAUUAGUUAUCUUGGUGCUGGUUGUAUUGAAACUUUGGGACUGGUAUUUUAUUGCAAUGGAAAAGAAAAGGGGAUACACAGAGAUGAACUCUCUCAGCACCUGAAAGUUCCUAUGGAAAAGAUCUUGGAAGCUAUCAGGUCUCUCGAGAAGGAAGGCUUCUUGAAGUGUUUUAUGUGUUUUGCACUCUCUCUCUCUCUCUCUCUCUCUCUCUCUCUAAGUGUUUAUGUAAGAAAUACUAGUUAUGUGUUUCUCUUAAGAAGUAUCUUAAAGUGUUUUUUAAGAUUUGCUUGCAUUUUUAUUAAAGAUUGGUUUCAAACAAAAUUUAUCAAAAUUCAACUGUAUUAAAAGCAAUGUAUUAAAAGGCAAAGGCAGAGGCGAGGCGUCCCAUGGAUAGCCCUGCCUAGGCAUGAGGCGAAGCCU